rnacentral:rRNA from 1 species
GACGAACCGUGCGAACGUUGUUCGGAUUCACUGGGCUUAAAGGGCGCGUAGGCGGGCUUGGUAAGUCAGGGGUGAAAUCCUCCGGCUCAACCGGAGAACAGCCUUUGAUACUGCAAGUCUCGAGGGAGAUAGGGGUCUGUGGGAACUUCCGGUGGAGCGGUGAAAUGCGUAGAUAUCGGGAAGAACGACCCGUGGCUAAGGCGGCUCUCUAGUACGGUACUGACGCUGAGACGCGAAAGCGUGGGGAGCGAACAGG